rnacentral:rRNA from 1 species
AGAAUCAACGCUGGCGGCAUGCCUAACACAUGCAAGUCGAACGAGAAAGUGGAGCAAUCCAUGAGUAAAGUGGCGCACGGGUGAGUAACACGUGACUAACCUACCCUUGAGUGGGGAAUAACUUCGGGAAACCGAGGCUAAUACCGCAUAACACCUACGGGUCAAAGGAGCAAUUCGCUUAAGGAGGGGGUCGCGGCAGAUUAGUUAGUUGGCGGGGUAAUGGCCCACCAAGACGGUGAUCUGUA